GAUGAACGCUGGCGGCGUGCCUAAUACAUGCAAGUCGAGCGAACAGACGAGGAGCUUGCUCCUCUGACGUUAGCGGCGGACGGGUGAGUAACACGUGGAUAACCUACCUAUAAGACUGGGAUAACUUCGGGAAACCGGAGCUAAUACCGGAUAAUAUAUUGAACCGCAUGGUUCAAUAGUGAAAGACGGUUUUGCUGUCACUUAUAGCUGGAUCCGCGCCGCAUUAGCUAGUUGGUAAGGUAACGGCUUACCAAGGCAACGAUGCGUAGCCGACCUGAGAGGGUGAUCGGCCACACUGGAACUGAGACACGGUCCAGACUCCUACGGGAGGCAGCAGUAGGGAAUCUUCCGCAAUGGGCGAAAGCCUGACGGAGCAACGCCGCGUGAGUGAUGAAGGUCUUCGGAUCGUAAAACUCUGUUAUUAGGGAAGAACAAAUGUGUAAGUAACUAUGCACGUCUUGACGGUACCUAAACAGAAAGCCACGGCUAACUACGUG
rnacentral:rRNA from 1 species